rnacentral:rRNA from 1 species
UGCUAAUACAUGCAAGUCGAACGAACUCUGGUAUUGAUUGGUGCUUGCAUCAUGAUUUACAUUUGAGUGAGUGGCGAACUGGUGAGUAACACGUGGGAAACCUGCCCAGAAGCGGGGGAUAACACCUGGAAACAGAUGCUAAUACCGCAUAACAACUUGGACCGCAUGGUCCGAGUUUGAAAGAUGGCUUCGGCUAUCACUUUUGGAUGGUCCCGCGGCGUAUUAGCUAGAUGGUGGGGUAACGGCUCACCAUGGCAAUGAUACGUAGCCGACCUGAGAGGGUAAUCGGCCACAUUGGGACUGAGACACGGCCCAAACUCCUACGGGAGGCAGCAGUAGGGAAUCUUCCACAAUGGACGAAAGUCUGAUGGAGCAACGCCGCGUGAGUGAAGAAGGGUUUCGGCUCGUAAAACUCUGUUGUUAAAGAAGAACAUAUCUGAGAGUAACUGUUCAGGUAUUGACGGUAUUUAACCAGAAAGCCACGGCUAACUACGUGCCAGCAGCCGCGGUAAUACGUAGGUGGCAAGCGUUGUCCGGAUUUAUUGGGCGUAAAGCGAGCGCAGGCGGUUUUUUAAGUCUGAUGUGAAAGCCUUCGGCUCAACCGAAGAAGUGCAUCGGAAACUGGGAAACUUGAGUGCAGAAGAGGACAGUGGAACUCCAUGUGUAGCGGUGAAAUGCGUAGAUAUAUGGAAGAACACCAGUGGCGAAGGCGGCUGUCUGGUCUGUAACUGACGCUGAGGCUCGAAAGUAUGGGUAGCAAACAGGAUUAGAUACCCUGGUAGUCCAUACCGUAAACGAUGAAUGCUAAGUGUUGGAGGGUUUCCGCCCUUCAGUGCUGCAGCUAACGCAUUAAGCAUUCCGCCUGGGGAGUACGGCCGCAAGGCUGAAACUCAAAGGAAUUGACGGGGGCCCGCACAAGCGGUGGAGCAUGUGGUUUAAUUCGAAGCUACGCGAAGAACCUUACCAGGUCUUGACAUACUAUGCAAAUCUAAGAGAUUAGACGUUCCCUUCGGGGACAUGGAUACAGGUG